rnacentral:lncRNA from 1 species
CGUCCAUCUGGUACAAGUGAGCUCAGCAAGACAGCCAGGGUGAGCAGAAAGCCCACAGAUACGGGAAAAGUGGUGUCCAGAGUCCUAAUGAUUUGUUUUCCUUGAAGCCAUGAGUCUUACAGAUUUUAUCCUCUACAGGUAGCUGGCAUUCAGCUAACCCAAGCUGAUGUGCCAACAGGAUUAGAUUUAACAUCGAUAACUGGUGAAUGCCUCAUCCAUCCACAGCUUCCUGUAUUUCAGGAUUUCCCAAAAU